GUUUCCAUAAUCCAGCCAACCUCGCAGUGUGACGCAGGCCUGUGCCCCCUCGGAUGACGGCAGGUCGUAUUUGCAGGACUGCUUCUUCAGAUCACACUCUGAUACGUAGUCACGCUGAAAACGAACAGGUUUUUGCAGUUAACAUUCACGUGGGUUGGUGGAGGAAUUCCAGCUAAGACACAGAAAGGUCACGAUUGUUAAGAACUGGAGCAAAGAGAACACACCUGUCUGUGUACGCUACAGAAGUCUGCAGAGAAGAAGCUGGAGCAGAGGGCACAUACUGGAGACUAAACCUGACCAGAGAGAUGUUCUCUCUGUUUGGGAGAGGAAGGAAGAGGCAGAGAACACUAUUCCUGGCAGUGGAACACGUUGAUGAAAUCCAAAUCUUCAUCCCAAAUGUUCCAGGAUUUAAAGUUAAAGGCCAUGUCGCUGAAGUAAAGCUAGGGUCCAGUCUGUGUGUCCAGAUGAUGUCUGCAGCACAGUUGCGAAAACCUGCAAAGGCUGCGGCAGGUUUGAUCUCGUAGAAGAAGUCAAAAUGAUGACAAAGUGUCUCCAGGAGACCAAAGUAAAUCUUAAUGACUUUACUGCAGUCACACACAAAAACCUCCAAAGACCAUCCAAUAUGGUGGAUCUGGAGAUGAUUCAUGAGUCCUAGAGAGGGUUGGCCUAGCUUUGAAUCACUGACGUCAGCGAACAGAAUCAACUAAACCUUUGGACACGGACCAGGUCACACCUUCCUGCUAAAAAGAUCGAGAGGGGUGAAACUGUGUCAUCUUCCCAGGCCACAAAAGAUGUGCUGGAGUUCCAGAGCAUCAGGUAUCGUUCUGUAUGUGUGUGUGUGUGAGUGUGUGUG